CAUUAUACGGCGAAACUGCGAAUGGCUCAUUAUAUAAGUUAUCGUUUAUUUGAUAGCACCUUACUACUUGGAUAACCGUGGUAAUUCUAGAGCUAAUACAUGCUGAAAACCCCGACCCCUGGGAGGGGUGUAUUUAUUAGAUUAAAAACCAAUGCCCUCUGGGCUCUCUGGUGAUUCAUGAUAACUCGUCGAAUCGCACGGCCUUGCGCCGGCGAUGGUUCAUUCAAAUUUCUUCCCUAUCAGCUUUCGAUGUUUGGGUAGUGGCCAAACAUGGCUGCAACGGGUAACGGAGGGUUAGGGCUCGACCCCGGAGAAGGAGCCUGAGAAACGGCUACUACAUCCAAGGAAGGCAGCAGGCGCGCAAAUUACCCAAUCCCGACACGGGGAGGUAGUGACAAUAAAUACUGAUACAGGGCUCUUUUGGGUCUUGUAAUUGGAAUGAGUACAAUUUAAAUCCCUUAACGAGGAACAAUUGGAGGGCAAGUCUGGUGCCAGCAGCCGCGGUAAUUCCAGCUCCAAUAGCGUAUAUUAAAGUUGUUGUGGUUAAAAAGCUCGUAGUUGAACCUUGGGCCUGGCUGGCCGGUCCGCCUCACCGCGUGCACUGGUCCGGCCGGGCCUUUCCCUCCGCGGAACCCCAUGCCCUUCACUGGGCGUGGCGGGGAAACGGGACUUUUACUUUGAAAAAAUUAGAGUGCUCCAGGCAGGCCUAUGCUCGAAUACAUUAGCAUGGAAUAAUGAAAUAGGACGCGCGGUUCUAUUUUGUUGGUUUCUAGGACCGCCGUAAUGAUUAAUAGGGACAGUCGGGGGCAUCAGUAUUCAAUUGUCAGAGGUGAAAUUCUUGGAUCAAUUGAAGACUAACUACUGCGAAAGCAUUUGCCAAGGAUGUUUUCAUUAAUCAGGAACGAAAGUUAGGGGAUCGAAGACGAUCAGAUACCGUCGUAGUCUUAACCAUAAACUAUGCCGACUAGGGAUCGGACGAUGUUAUUACUUGACUCGUUCGGCACCUUACGAGAAAUCAAAGUGC
rnacentral:rRNA from 1 species